rfam:Camelus ferus unplaced genomic scaffold scaffold674, whole genome shotgun sequence.
GCUGGCUUCGGCAGCAUGCACACUGAAACUGGGGCCACACAGGGAGGAUUAGCACGGCCCCUGCGCAGAGAUGACACGCAAAUUCACGAAGCAUUCCAUGUUUAG